CACACCCACAAAUGUCAAAAUUCGCUAUAUCGUAAAAGUUUCAUGAAUGUAUUUCGUUGCUUUUUGUCUUCAUUUAAGGUUAGGUAUAUGGUUAUGUUUAUAGUCUGAUUUUAACAAGGUAAAUUAUAGAAAUAGGUGGGGUUUAGCCAUAAUUAUGACUUUGCCGAUCUGGUGACUAGUAACAACCGAUCACCACCGCAACCCACUUCCCGACCAUUAAAGAACAUUGCUCUAUUCCACAGUUAGUGUCUGGUCUCCUCAGAACUAUUUCAACCCGCACUGCUCUGGCACUGCGGGGACCCAUGAUCACCCAGAGGGCCAGUGUCUUCACCAGACCGGCGAAAGACCCUCUCGGCCCUCCGAGACCAUCAUCGGACUGGGACUGUUCGCACUGGCUAUCCUGGGACCUUCCGGUUGGAUUCUCACCAACAUUGAGGACUACAAGAAGAAAGAUUAACUUAACAUGGACUCAUGUUAAUGGAUGUUCCGUACAUUCUCUACUUAUUCAAGACCCUCCUGGGAUCAUCAUUACUUCAAGAACUCCGUGGAACAAAUCCCCAACCUCUAUGAACUACCUCUCCAUCUCCACUUUACUCUCCUCACUCCUAGUUUACUCUCCUCACUCCUAGUUUACUCUCCUCACUCCUAGUUUACUCUCCUCACUCCUAGUUUACUCUCCUCACUCCUAGUUUACUCUCCUCACUCCUAGUUUACUCUCCUCACUCCUAGUUUACUCUCCUCACUCCUAGUUUACUCUCCUCACUCCUAGUUUACUCUCCUCACUCCUAGUUUACUCUCCUCACUCCUAGUUUACUCUCCUCACUCCUAGUUUACUCUCCUCACUCCUAGUUUACUCUCCUCACUCCUAGUUUACUCUCCUCACUCCUAGUUUACUCUCCUCACUCCUAGUUUACUCUCCUCACUCCUAGUUUACUCUCCUCACUCCUAGUUUACUCUCCUCACUCCUAGUUUACUCUCCUCACUCCUAGUUUACUCUCCUCACUCCUAGUUUACUCUCCUCACUCCUAGUUUACUCUCCUCACUCCUAGUUUACUCUCCUCACUCCUAGUUUACUCUCCUCACUCCUAGUUUACUCUCCUCACUCCUAGUUUACUCUCCUCACUCCUAGUUUACUCUCCUCACUCCUAGUUUACUCUCCUCACUCCUAGUUUACUCUCCUCACUCCUAGUUUACUCUCCUCACUCCUAGUUUACUCUUCAGCCCUUUGGAAAACCGUCUGCAAAUAGAAUGGCUGCACAACAUCUCAAGAAUUGUGAAUUUUAAUUGAACAAGGAGUAUGCUACAAUAAUAAAACAUAAUUCAACUUGAAAU